rnacentral:rRNA from 1 species
UACGAAGGGGGCUAGCGUUGUUCGGAUUUACUGGGCGUAAAGCGCACGUAGGCGGACUUUUAAGUCAGGGGUGAAAUCCCGGGGCUCAACCCCGGAACUGCCUUUGAUACUGGAAGUCUUGAGUUCGAGAGAGGUGAGUGGAAUUGCGAGUGUAGAGGUGAAAUUCGUAGAUAUUCGCAGGAACACCAGUGGCGAAGGCGGCUCACUGGCUCGAUACUGACGCUGAGGUGCGAAAGUGUGGGGAGCAAACAGG